rnacentral:rRNA from 1 species
CCUACGGGAGGCAGCAGUGGGGAAUAUUGCACAAUGGGCGAAAGCCUGAUGCAGCGACGCCGCGUGAGGGAUGACGGCCUUCGGGUUGUAAACCUCUUUCAGCAGGGAAGAAGCGAAAGUGACGGUACCUGCAGAAGAAGCGCCGGCUAACUACGUGCCAGCAGCCGCGGUAAUACGUAGGGCGCAAGCGUUGUCCGGAAUUAUUGGGCGUAAAGAGCUCGUAGGCGGCUUGUUGCGUCGGUUGUGAAAGCCCGGGGCUUAACCCCGGGUCUGCAGUCGAUACGGGCAGGCUAGAGUGUGGUAGGGGAGAUCGGAAUUCCUGGUGUAGCGGUGAAAUGCGCAGAUAUCAGGAGGAACACCGGUGGCGAAGGCGGAUCUCUGGGCCAUUACUGACGCUGAGGAGCGAAAGCGUGGGGAGCGAGCAGGAUUAGAUACCCUGGUAGUCCACGCCGUAAACGUUGGGAACUAGGUGUUGGCGACAUUCCACGUCGUCGGUGCCGCAGCUAACGCAUUAAGUUCCCGCCUGGGGAGUACGGCCGCAAGGCUAAAACUCAAAUGAAUUGACGG